rnacentral:rRNA from 1 species
UUGUGCCUACGGGGCGCAGCAGUAGGGAAUCUUCCACAAUGGGGGGAACCCUGAUGCAGCGACGCCGCGUGAGUGAAGAAGUAUUUCGGUAUGUAAAGCUCUAUCAGCAGGGAAGAAAAUGACGGUACCUGACUAAGAAGCCCCGGCUAACUACGUGCCAGCAGCCGCGGUAAUACGUAGGGGGCAAGCGCUAUCCGGAUUUACUGGGUGUAAAGGGAACGUAGACGGCAGAGCAAGUCUGAAGUGAAAGCCCGCGGCCCAACUGCGGGACUGCUUUGGAAACUGCCCGGCUAGAGUGCUGGAGG